rnacentral:rRNA from 1 species
UCGAGAAUACUUCACAAUGGGGGCAACCCUGAUGGUGCAACGCCGCGUGGAGGAUGACGGUCUUCGGAUUGUAAACUCCUGUCAUUUGGGAGUACGACCUGGCGGUCAAUAGCCGACAGGGUUGAUAGUACCAAAAGAGGCAGGGACGGCUAACUUCGUGCCAGAAGCCGCGGUAAUACGAAGGUCCCGAGCGUUGUUCGGAAUCAAUGGGCGUAAAGGGAGCGUAGGCGGCGUGGCAAGUAAGACGUGCAAGUCCGGGGCUCAACCCCGGAAUUGCGUCCGAAACUGCCGUGCUUGAGGGUUGGAGAGGUAGCUUGAAUUCUUGGUGUAGCAGUGAAAUGCGUGGAUAUCAAGAGGAACACUCGGGGCGAAAGCGAGCUACUGGACAACACCUGACGCUGAGGCUCGAAGGCCAGGGUAGCGAAAG